AUGAUUUAGGCCUCCAGACCUCCAUAUUUUUAGAUAUGGAAGCCCAAGUCUGUCUUGAAAGUAACAGCUCUGGUGGCUGGCUGUUUUCUUCUUCACCAAACGUCUUCUCAGUCAGGACAGAAAACUGCCAAGCCUGGCGCUUCUGGAACUUCAUCCUACUGUCUAGUCUUUUGUGCCCUCAUCACAUGCCUGUUCCUGAAGCCCAGGAACAGAGAGAAGCUCCUCUGGAUCAGACGGAUGUAAGCUGGAGCUGUGGCAGCUGUCAUUGCCCUGUGAAAAGUCCACUUGGAGCUGCCAAAGACCACCCCAGGAGCUUCAGAAUGAAGACAACCUGGAAGUCAGAGCUGACAGAAAUAAGGUGAAGUUAGCUUGAGGAAAGAGCUGUAAGGAAGAGUGAAGUCAGCUGAGUCAAGGACACAAGCGGAAAAUGUGCAAAGAUGAGCCAGAAGCAUGGAAAAGUACUUCCAAGACAGAGGAGAACUGAUCCAAGAGAAAGGAGAUGGGAGUGGGCAUCACGUACAGCCAGAGGGCGCCACCUGCCGGUAAGAGCUGAAUAGUGAACUUCGUGUUUCUUGGGAUAAAACAUUGUAUAAUACACAGUACUGGGAAGAAAAUCAGAUACGCACUAAUGCUGCCUCUACGUUAUACCGCCAUCAUUCCCCUAAUUUAUCACUCCCUUAUGAGUAAUUUCGGGUUACAAAAACUUGUGUAACAUAACAUUGUAUAUAUUCUUUGCAAUGUAUGCAAAUACACACAAAUAUGUAAAUAUAUGUUUGUUUGUUUGUAUACGCAUAGGAUAGUUUCAGAUGGAAACACCCAAAGUAGCAACACUGACUGCCUCUAGGGGGGGAAACCGAGCAUCUAGAAGGUGAGGUGUGUGUGGGGGUACUUUUGAGGUGUUGCCCACCUGUAUGUUUGGAAUAUUCUCUAAUCAAAAAAAAAUUUAAAUAGAAUCAUUAAAAUUUUUUAAAACUGAAGACUUCCCCUAGAUCCUUUCUAUCAUCUUUAACUAGAACCAUUCUGGCUUUAUGACUAAACCUAUCUGCUUUGGUCAUUUACUUCUUUAAAACGAGACAACCGUGUGACAUCCUAGGAUCCAUCGAAUGACCUAGUUCACAAGAGAAGCCAGAAUGCAGUCAGGACAAGGCAAACAGCCCUUUACUGGAAGAAUUGGGCAGUCUAUCUGGUGAGAGAUAAGUUUAAAUAGGGCUGUGACACUGCACAACAAAGUCCCAUUUUUUGGACUUUAUGGGGGUUGAAAACCCUGCCUGACAGACUCAGAGUCCUUAACCAGACUGCCCCAGCGGGGAGAAGGGUACCGGGAGGGUUUCCACGAGGGCAGAGGCAGCAGGUGUCUGACUACCUACUCCAUUUGCAAGGACGAAUGGAAAGCCAGGGCUCACCACACAGGUGAACAGUAGAAGACUGCAUGAGCCGAUGGAAAAACAGACCCUAAGAGCAGCAGAAGAGGAGACAGUCCAAAUAACAUCUUCAGCGAGAUUAAGACUAUAGUUUAUGGCAGUCUCGUGCAUCUAUCAACAAUAAGAACAUACUAUAUAGAGAGACAAUUAGAAGACAAGAGUUACCUAGAGAUUGAAAAUAUAAUUGCUGAAGUUAAAAAACACUUUAUUGGCCGGGCGCAGUGGCUCACACCUGUAAUCCUAGCACUUUUGGAGGCUGAGGCAGGCAGGUCACUUGAGCCCAGGAGUUCAAGACCAGCCUGGACAACACAGGGAGACCCUGUCUCUACAAAAAAAAUUGCAAAAAUUAGCCGAGCAUGGUGGCAUGCACUUGUAGCUUGGGACUACAUCCUAGCUACGUGGGAGGCAUAGAUGGGAGGAUCACCUGGGCCCGGGAAGUGUGAGGCUGUAGUGAGCUGUGAUUGCACCACUGUACUCCAGUCUGGGCAACAGAGUGAGAUUCUGUCUCAAAAAACAAAAAAACAAACAAACAGAAAAAAACAAAACAAACAACAAAAACCACCUAAA